rnacentral:tRNA from 1 species
GCGCCGGUGGUGUAAGGCGAACAUCGCUGCCAGGACAGCAGAAGAUGCGGGUUCGAGUCCCGCCUGGCGCA